rnacentral:rRNA from 1 species
UACGUAGGGACCAAGCGUUGUCCGGAAUCAUUGGGCGUAAAGCGCACGUAGGCGGAUCCUUAAGUCGGGGGUGAAAUCCUGGAGCUCAACUCCAGAACUGCCUUCGAUACUGAGGAUCUCGAGUCCGGGAGAGGUGAGUGGAACUGCGAGUGUAGAGGUGAAAUUCGUAGAUAUUCGCAAGAACACCAGUGGCGAAGGCGGCUCACUGGCCCGGUACUGACGCUGAGGUGCGAAAGCGUGGGGAGCAAACAGG